GAUGAACGCUGGCGGCGUGCCUAAUACAUGCAAGUCGAGCGAACGGACGAGAAGCUUGCUUCUCUGAUGUUAGCGGCGGUCGGGUGAGUAACACGUGGAUAACCUACCUAUAAGACUGGGAUAACUUCGGGAAACCGGAGCUAAUACCGGAUAAUAUUUUGAACCGCAUGGUUCAAAAGUGAAAGACGGUCUUGCUGUCACUUAUAGAUGGAUCCGCGCUGCAUUAGCUAGUUGGUAAGGUAACGGCUUACCAAGGCAACGAUGCAUAGCCGACCUGAGAGGGUGAUCGGCCACACUGGAACUGAGACACGGUCCAGACUCCUACGGGAGGCAGCAGUAGGGAAUCUUCCGCAAUGGGCGAAAGUCUGACGGAGCAACGCCGCGUGAGUGAUGAAGGUCUUCGGAUCGUAAAACUCUGUUAUUAGGGAAGAACAUAUGUGUAAGUAACUGUGCACAUCUUGACGGUACCUAAUCAGAAAGCCACGGCUAACUACGUG
rnacentral:rRNA from 1 species